rnacentral:rRNA from 1 species
AUGGCGUUCUGCAUCUGCGGCCGCCGGCAGUGUCCAACCUUGUCGCACGCCAUGGCUCGUGUCCUUGGCGGAGGAGCCUCUUCCGGCAGGGGAUCAACAGCAGCCUGCCGUGGCCUGCUGCGGCGCCUCCCAUGGCUGGUUAACCCCUUCACCGCAGCGUUGCUCCCGCUCCCGCCAAUCACCAGUUUUGCGUCGUGCAUCGAAGGGGUUUACGGAGAUGAAGGGAACAUCGUGGGCUAUCGUUACAAUUGUUACGAGAGUGACAGUGUCUAUGAUGUGCGGUCUCUUGGUGGGUUUUUCUAUGACAAGGUUGUGUUGUCCGGUUCUCCAUCUGCUGGUCCCGCAACUGCUUUGUCCAUGCACAUGGACGGUAAGCGACUCUCUUUUGCGAGGGUCGGAGAUAGUUCUUGGCGACAAGUUUCAAGUAUAAGGAGAAGUCUGGAUAGCUAUGCCGAUUGUGUCUACCACCGCGGCAGGUUCUACGUGGUGACAAUGGAAGGUAAAUUGAAGUCUUGGGGCCUCAGUGGACCGGAGGACGGACCGCGAAAGAAAACGAUCAUUGCCGAGGGAGAUGAUUACUUUUUUGAACUUAUCACGAGAUACCUGGUUUCAACUUGGUGGGGACAUCUUCUGCAGAUUCGUGUCGUCCUCGACAAGUAUCAGGAGCACUACGUUAGGGUUGAUGUAGACAGAUUGGAUCUCAAGAACAGCCAAAUGGUAGGAGUAAGCCCAGCAAAGGCUCUAAGGGGACACGCGGCGUUCCUUGGUCAGAAUAGCCGGGUAGUAGCUGGCAUGCUGACGAUCACAAGUUUGUAUGAUGUCCUGUCCCAGCACAAGGUUCAAUACUGA